rnacentral:rRNA from 1 species
AGAGACAGCAGUCGCCGCGGGAAUACGGAGGGUGCAAGCGUUAAUCGGAAUUACUGGGCGUAAAGCGCACGCAGGCGGUUUGUUAAGUCAGAUGUGAAAUCCCCGAGCUUAACUUGGGAACUGCAUUUGAAACUGGCAAGCUAGAGUCUUGUAGAGGGGGGUAGAAUUCCAGGUGUAGCGGUGAAAUGCGUAGAGAUCUGGAGGAAUACCGGUGGCGAAGGCGGCCCCCUGGACAAAGACUGACGCUCAGGUGCGAAAGCGUGGGGAGCAAACAGGAUUAGAUACCCGAGUAGUCCCUGUCUCUUAUAC